UACGUAGGGUGCAAGCGUUGUCCGGAUUUAUUGGGCGUAAAGAGCUCGUAGGCGGCUUUGUAAGUCGGGUGUGAAAACCCCAGGCUCAACCUGGGGACGCCACUCGAUACUGCAAUGGCUAGAGUCUGGUAGGGGAUCACGGAAUUCCUGGUGUAGCGGUGAAAUGCGCAGACAUCAGGAGGAACACCGGUGGCGAAGGCGGUGAUCUGGGCCAGUACUGACGCUGAGGAGCGAAAGCGUGGGGAGCAAACAGG
rnacentral:rRNA from 1 species